rnacentral:lncRNA from 14 species
CAGGGCAGUGAGGAGAUGUGUGCUCUUCCUCCCAUACCCGUCUCGUGGCAGCGUUCAAACAGCACGAGGGCACCUCAGUCCCAGUAUUGUGGCAGCCACAUCAAGACCUGUCAUUUCAUGGCAAAUUCCAUGAAACACUUCUGGCUUUGGUUCAAAUUCCUUGCCUGGGAAUUGUCCCAAGUGCUCCUGCCCUGUACUGGAGUCAUACCUGCAGAUCAAACAGCUGCUUCUGAAGAAAAAUAAGAAGGCUUAAGUUUGAAGAAGUCCAUGGAGCAAAGGGCAGCAGCAGCACUGGAGCAGCAAAGCUGCCUUCCAUCCACGCCAGCACCCAACAAGGUCUUUGAGCUCCCCUGCAAGUUGCUGGUACCAGCACCGUGUGGCUGUGAGGUCCUUCGCUCCUCCCAUGCCUUCUGGUAAGUUUGAUGCUGGAUGAGACUGCCCUGCACCCGGAACAGUAGUGCCUUCUCCUUGGACAAAGGUGGGUAAAACCCAGGAAUAUCCACCGGGACACAAGUGAGGUGCCUGCCUCUGCAGGAGAUGCUGAGUGCACAGGGGUGGGUGGAUCAGGCCUCGCAGCUUGUUCAUAUUUCCCCCACACAAGUCACAGAAACAAACAUCCGCCAUCUGGUCAGCAUUAAAGCGACGGCCAGGAAGAGGAUCCCACACGUCCUCAUCUUCUCCUCCUCAGCAAUUACCUUCCUUUCAGUGCCAUCUGAGAGCUUUCUCCUUCCUAUUUGAUCUUCUUUCUCCAUCCUGCUCCCAAGCACAUGCUGAUCCCUGGCCAGCAGCACUGGGAAAUGCUCAGACUCAUCCAGUGGGAAUGCAUCCAACCUCCCCAAACCAG